UGUUUCUCCAGCUGCUACAAAGUGGAGGGGCCCGGGACCCACGGGAGGAGACGGAAGGGGCAUCCCUCCAUGUGAGAGAAAGCGGGCUGCAGGUGCAGAGCGGUCAGUUGUGGGCCUGGGGGCACGCGGUUCAGAUAUGUCGGCACCAGAUCCUGACCUAAGUCAGCUGCCAGGACUCUGUCCCUCAGGGAGGAAGGCACAAAGGUCGGGGAGGACGCAGAGACUGGGGUCAGGCAAUUCCAGCUCUUCCGCUGGCGCACCUCCAUCCUCUGUUCAUCCAUGGGAUCUACCAGAGCUCCUGGUCCCUGCACGCGACGUAAAGACACGACGAUGAGCUGGCUGUGGGGCUCCCCUGCUCCAGAGGUUGAUGGAAAACAGCCACGUGCCCCUCUUGUGGUCGACCAGUUACCGAAGACCCGGGAACCAGUUCACGGUCCUUUGUUAUGGCCGCCCCAGGACACUGAUCCAAGGCCAGGGCGGGGAUGGCCGAUAGGUGAAGGUGCAACACUGCCCGUGGACUACCUGAGAGCCCUCCCAGCCUGUUCUGUCUUGCCGUCUCAGACGACAAAGGGACAGUAUUCCUCAAGAACUUCUGGACAGAGCAUUCAGAACCAUUCCUGGCUACAAUAUACAGCAAGGCCAUGCUGGCAUGUCCCAGGUGAAUGUUAGUACUAUCAAAACACAUGUGCUUGUGGCUUAAUUAAAUUCUGAGUUCCCUGAGAGCAGGGACUAGGUCUGAUACUUUUUUGUCGCUUUGGGUUUCCAGCUUUAGAC